rnacentral:rRNA from 1 species
GUGCGUAGGCGGCCUGACAAGUCAGAAGUGAAAGGCUACGGCUCAACCGUGGUAAGCUUUUGAAACUGUCAGGCUUGAGUGCAGGAGAGGAGAGCGGAAUUCCUGGUGUAGCGGUGAAAUGCGUAGAUAUCAGGAAGAACACCAGUAGCGAAGGCGGCUCUCUGGACUGAAACUGACGCUGAGGCACGAAAGCGUGGGGAGCGAACA